GUCCGGAGACAGCGUGGCACCAACCCAGCUGUGUGUGCUUUGGAGCUGGAUACUCCUAAACACGUUUGGGUUUGAACUCCAGCUCUGAUCCUGCCAGCGAGGAGCCUUAGAGCAAGUGACUUAACCUUCUGGGCCUCAGUUUCCCUCAUCUGAAAAUGGGCGUGAUCAAGUCACCUCCCAGGGAUAUUUUCGAGGAUGAGAGGGGCCUAUGUGACAACUUCCCUGGCAUCCAUACCUCCACAGCCCAGAGUGGGGUCUCCGGGAUGUGAGCUGUACCCAGGCCUAACUUACGUCCGGACUGACCAGCACGCCUUCAGAAAGACUCUCAGGUUUACAGUACACGAGAGUGCACAGCUCUCCAAGACAUUCCAAGCAAUGUUACUUCAUCGACUUAUGGAAAU
rnacentral:lncRNA from 1 species